GACUUCAGCCACACUUUGCCCAAGAAUGUGAGGAAAUUUCCUGUGUCAGAUGCGAGAUGGAAAUAGAAGUGAAAUCUGGAUAUCUUUUGUUUGGUGUCUGAUGCUCUUUUUCAUACCUAGCAGCCAGGAUGUGUGGCCCAGUGAGCACACUCAAACCACAAGAUGCAUUGCCAAGCCAGGAGUUCUCACCUGUUUCUAACAACUCCUAAACCCCAAGGUAUGAUCCCAAGAAGCAGAUCCAGAGAGGCAGCAGGGUGAGGCUUGGCAAAGCCAACAGUGGGCAGGAGGUGCAAGCUGCUGAGAGCUGCUGCGCUGAGCCAGGCAAAGGAGCUGUGGCUCUGCUGCUCCCCUCUUCAUGGAGAUCUCCAGAACUGGGGAUGGCAAACAGUGGCUGACAGCAGUGAGCACAGUGCCGUGGGUCUGACUAUCUGUCUCACCAUUAUGAGAAUCACCAGUAAAACCGCUCUGCAACUCUGAGAACAGGAUUUGGUUUUUUGUUAAAAACUAUGUGCAAAGGGGACAGAUAAUUCUGUUCAUGCUUGAAACAGUGAGAAAAGAACUAACAGUGAGUGCUUUGCAGAAUACAUUUUCCUGUGAGUAACAGAUUCCAAGGCACCAAAUUGUUUUUAAUGGGUUAUUUUGAAAUAAGUAGAAAGAUGCAGCCCCACUGAAAUUUCUGCAAGCACUGACAGUGCCACAAAUGCAUUGAUGUGGCAGGAACAUGUUCUUUGGGUCACAGGGACAUUUUCAAAAUUCCACACUCCUCUUUGAUGCCACUCACCAGACAGCCUUGAAAACUCAUUUUGUUUCCAAAAAAACACCACCACCCUCUCCUUCUUGCCAACUUCUUUCUAUGCCCUUCUCCAUUUUAUAUAAUUUUCCUGUGCAUUUCAGAAUUUGCUUCCCCCUUUCCACAGUGCCAGAGGCAAGGCAGAGCAACAACACUACACCAGGGAGACUUCUGUGGUUCCACAACUGGUUGUCCUCAUGGCGAAGAAUUGUGAAAAGCAGAGUGCAUGUGGAAAGGAUCCAGCAAACAGAGCCGCCUUCUUUCAGUGGAAGAGGACUGGAUACAACUUAUGCUCUGCUCUUCCUGUAUACCUCCUGCAGCAGGGAGGCUGCUUGGUGCCCACACAAGUAAAUGUGUCAUCAGGAGGCCAUGGUCACUUCUGGGGCCAGCCUGCUGCCUCUUGUACAUUUCUGACAAAAACAUGUAGCUAAUGAAGAUGACUAUUUUGAAAAAUAAUAUUUUGUAGUGGAGAAUUUUCUCUAUCAAACGGUGUUAUUGUGCUCUUUGUAGCUGUUAUAGUUUCCAUGGAAAUAAAUAGGAGGCAUUACUUACGGAGCAAACUAUGUACAUUUGCUUGGCACGCUGAAUGAGCAAAUGAGCAACAUACAAGGCAAAGGGAACACUUGCAGAGCACUCCAAGGAGCCCCUGCAUAAGGCUGAUGGGAGCACAUGCAGCUGUGCUGCCUGCAGGACGGGGCUGCUCUCUGUGCCUGACACCAUUAGCAUUCCUCGUCAGCCACAGCUCCCAGCACCGUCUGUGCAGAACUUGGGAAAACCAGGUCACUGUCUCGGCUCAUCCUCCUUGAUAAGCAGUGUUUUCUUCUGCUGCUCUGAGGCUCCGGACAGUGUAAUUAGUUGUCACUAAUGUUCAAUUCUGUGUUCAACUGCUUCAGCCCAGGCCAAAAAUGAAGGUUUUGCAUAGUUUGCAUGCCCUAAUAGGAGGGGAACUUGAGAGAGACCCAUUUUCCUUGUGUUAUAAUGAUGCAGCUGAUAUUUUUCAAAAGACCAGAAAGAAUACUAAUGACAUGUUAAGCUUUCAGCACUCCCAGAACAGAGAAUAAAUGAGAUUCCAAUGAAAAUACAAAGCUAUACACCUACCCGUGCCAGAUAACAACUUGUACUGCAAGGCUGUCAUAACGAGCAAACUGAAAUCAUGCCCUCAAGCAGAAAAACUGCCUGAAAUUGCAUUUAACUGCUUUGGGUUUGCAGGAAGAUGAGAAUCCUGAUAUUCCAAAGAAGCUGGAGGGCGGAAAAAAGGAAGAAGUUAACCCAAGUGCCAGACCAGAAAUCCAGAUUUCUGCAAUGCGAUGCUGGAGAUGAGGUCUUUUAAGCUUUUGGGGAAUACAUUUUGAGGGGAGUGUAUAGAGUUGGUCCAUGGUGAUUAAGCAACAAACUUUACAAACGGUCAAGUGGUUUUAUACUGUGGAUAAAUAAAUAAGCAUAAAUGCCCUCAAAGAAUCAUCUGGAUGAUGCAGCGUAGCUUGUUUCUUGGCAGGGCAGCUGUAUCAGUAAUUAAGGCUGCAUUAAUGCGUUCUGUAGGUGUCACUGUAAUGGCAAUGUCUGCAUCGACCGAAGCGACUGAGCAGUGUGAGGAGCCAGGAGCUGCAUGCACUCUUUGCCAAAAAUGCGCUUAGAAUUUGACAUGCCAGAACACCAUUAAAAAUAGCAUCACUUAAGUCAUAAACAACAAGGCAAAUGAUAUUAGCAUCCACUACAGUAACUGCAAAGUCAACGUGCAGUAUUUCGGGAGAUGGAAUAUGAAGCAGAGCAUGCAUUAGCAGUCAUUCCAAGAUGGUUUCUUUGGACAGAAGAGCACCAGCUUCAAAGAACUGUAUUCUGCUUUGUGUGUGCUGGGAAGCAGGGAAUGAGAUGAGGGGUCAUGAAAUUACAGCUGGAACUGAUGACACUGGAAAAAUUGAAAUUCCUCUUUCGCAGUGAUUUGGGUUAAGAAGUCCUAAGCGUGCAGUAUGAGCUAUAUACAACUCUGCCAACAACCAUAGGUCAGUUCAUGUAGUAAGGUGAAAGUCAGAAAGAGAAAUAUUUUCUAGAAAAAAAGAAAAAGAAAUGUUUCUGUGUAGUAACCUUUGUAGUUAAGCAUAGGUGAUCCUUGCUGCCCCAGUCAGCAGAGGAAUUUUAUAGGUGCUUCAAAUACAUUAAAAUACAUCAAUUAAAUACAUUAAAAUACUUCAAAUACAUUUUACUAUCAUCAUUAUUUAAGCAGAAUUCAGCCCCGGAGGCCACAUAACAGUUAAACUUGUCAUAACAACUCCAAAUAUAAUAGGAGCACAAGCUCAAGAUACUCUUCAGAUGUGUGCUGCUAAUUGCAGUUACAAUGGUAUUAUUUUCCAGCUUCAUCUCCUGCAAGCCAGCACGUUACUAACAGAUGGAGAAGUAACUCAUUUUGGUAAGCCCAGUCACACGUUACCUGUCUUCUCAAAUGUUCCAUGUAAUGAAAGCUAUUGCAGAGCUAACCACAAUCAGCACCAUGUGGUAAUGCCUCUUCAGUCCUCCGUGCUGUAUUCCAACCUUGCUUUGGCUCAUAACAGUGCGAAUGCAAUUUAAAAACUCCAGGAUGGAAAUCCUGCUUGGAAACAUUUCCAGAUUUGUACUUGAGUAUUAAUUGCGCUUGACGCUUAAUUUGCAACAAAGAACACCUUACAGUGACUGGACGUGUGCAUUGCAAAAAGUAAGAUAAAGGAAUGUCUGUGACGCAGAUUCUUGCAGCUGACGUUCUCCGGUGAUAUUUAGACUAUGUAAAUAUGGGCAAUGUAAGCAGUGAUCUUGUUUGCAAUGUGGCUGCUGAAUUCUUGGGAAGAAACCCAAACCUUGCACUUGCCUCCUUCCACAGAACAAGCCCCACAGGAGCACAGCAAGUACUCUGUUUAGAUGUGGUACAGAGGAAGAUCUCUGUGUAAAAAGCCCAUCUGUACUCAUGAACUCUGCAAAGGAAAACUUACAACAGGAUGCUUUUCUUUUGUUUUUAAAUACACAUCUUUCAGGAGGAAAAAAAAUAAAAAAUAAAAAAUA